UACAGAGGUCCCAAGCGUUACUGAGAAUCACUGGGUUUAAAGGGUGCGUAGGUGGUCCGUUAAGUCAGUUGUGAAAUCCCCGGGCUCAACCCGGGAAAUGCUUCUGAUACUGGCGGACUUGAGGCCAGUAGGGGUCACUAGAACUGACGGUGGAGCGGUGAAAUGCGUAGAUAUCGUCAGGAAUGCCGGUGGUGAAGACGGGUGACUGGGCUGGUUCUGACACUGAGGCACGAAAGCGUGGGGAGCAAACAGGG
rnacentral:rRNA from 1 species